UUUUGGAAGUGGAACUGACAGGAUGUGCAGGUGCAGAAGCGGGAGAUGGGGGCUUCCAGGCGGGUAACGUUUUAAUGUGGUGACAGCGGUUAAAAACGGAACAUAAUAAGUUUACCACUGCAUUUAUAAUGCAAAGUAGAAUGGAGACUUUCACUUGCUGAAAGUUGAUUAAAUCUGUGCAAGGCGCCUCAUAAAGCCACUUGUCAUAUCCGAAACCGAAUGAAAUGAUAAGCAGCCGGAGUGCAACAGAUUACCAGUCAGAAACUCCUGGUGGAAUUCUGGAACCUUUACCACAAGCGCCUUCGACGCAUUGACCAAUCAGAUCACAGCCGGGAGGAGGCUCUGCAGAGCAAGGUGGGUGUGCUGCAGUCGUUUGUGUGGGACCUGAGUGAGCAGAAUGAGGUUCUGCUCCAGGCGCUGGAGGCUGAGGAGGCGGAGGACCGGGCGGUGGAGGGGAGAACAGUCAGCCUUCACAAAGAGCUGGAGCGGCGCCGAUCCUUGGCUCUGUGCCUGAUGCCAGUGGACCUCGUGGGAACCACGGCAACGUUCUUCCGGUCCCCGUAAGUACCAAGACCCGUGAACCGAACCGGUUGGUACCCCUUCUGCAUCGGUUCCUCAUAGUUUACCCUUCCACUUUACACCAAUAAAAACACAAAGGGUGGAGUUUUGUAGUUCCUUUGGUUGGUUGGCAAGGAGGGGGCAAACUAAAAAGCGUGGGUGAGGGGGUGACGAAAGUGUUCCCACGGCCCCCCUACCCCCGCCUGGCGGAGCUGCAGGCAGGCCGGCUGGGGUAGGGUAUCUCCUCCCCUCCCCACCCCACCAGUGUGUGUGUCUGUGGCCGGGACUGCUGCUCCUGUCCCCCUGCCUCCUGUGCCCCUGCCCCCUCCACUGAGUUCCAGCAUGUCUGUUGUCUGUGUGGCAUCCCCCUCGCCUCAGUCUGGUUCCCAUACUGGUGGAUGCUGUAUAGAGCCUACAGCCUGAGCCAUUCAUCUCCCUGGUGAUUGCUGUGAAUGUAGAUAAAUCUCACACACACACACACACACACACACACACACACACACACACACACACACACACACACACACACACACACACACACACACGCCUGCCUCUCUGGCAUAGCUUAGCUUGCUGCUGAAGUAGAUUUUCAUGCUUUCUGUUUUUGCCUUUUCUUUUUUUCUUUUUUCAAGAAGUUGUUCCUGUCACGCAUAAAUCCCACACACCUGGAGGAAACCAUGAUGCGCGAUAAGUUUUUCUCUCGCGAAAAACAAAAACUAUUUAAACGAACGCAGAGAGAAAAGUAAAUUAAUUCCUGUCUGUCCGCUGAUUAUAAUGUGUUGGCGGUUCAUUAGUAUGCGUCCUCAUGUUUGCAGUUUUUUUCUUUUUGUGUGUGUGUCUUUGUAAACAGCUGCUGUUGAGACGUUGGCACAGUCCCUCAGGUCCUUUCUUCCUCCCUCCCCUCUUGUGGCUGGCAGGCAGGCAGGCGAUUGGCAGAAUGGCAGGGUCUGCGGCAUGGAGGCAGGCAGCAGUGCCCAUGGUAGACAUUCCUCAUCGCAGUGGCUGCCGGCCGGAUUGAUGAGAGCUGGAUGAAAAUGGUGUGUUAGAGGAGGAGGAGGGGGGUGGGGGGGUUGGCACAAAAACAGGCACCAGCUUCACACCCUCCCCUCCCCACAGAACAGCUUGAGCUUUUGUUUUGUCUUGUUUUCCCCCGCUUUGUUUUGUUUGUUAUCUUUCCCCUUCCUUUCAUUCUGUCCGUCGCGCUAAUUAACAGAGCAAACUUUUGUUGUUCUAAUUAGUCAUUUGAAGCACUAGAUGGUCUUUGUUUGCACUUGGCUUUCUUUAUCUUUGCCAAGCGACCCGCGACGGAUGCCCGAUCGUGUUGAUUUGCUCUUGAUCGUUGUGUACCAUCUCUCGCCCCCUUACAUUUUUCCGCGACAGAUGCCACCGCGUUCCCGCUGGUACACCUCUCGAAGAUCGUGGGUAUCGAAUCACCGCGCUCCUCGGGCAUCCUCAGAAGUGGUGACUUUCCCGCAAAUCCGUAAACGCCACCUUCCAUAUGAAAAAGACAUGGUGCCUUUUCAUCUCCUGUGUUUUCCUAGGGUGCGCCGUGACUGUCGAUGAGCAGGUUGGCAUGGCGUACGCUGCCUGGCUGGUUGCCUGGCACAGGGGGUUGUGCUUGAGAAGGGAGAGCGAGAGAAAGAGCGAGAGAGAGAGUGAGGGGCGCUUCUUUUUGUCCCACCCCUCAGUCGUCUCUAGGACAACACCACAAGCUUAAAGUUUCUCUGUGUUGGUUGUUCUCGAAUUUCCACUUACCCCACCAGUCCCUUGUGGCAGAGCCCAUUUCCUUCAUCUCCCCUUGUCCCUGGCUCCUUCGCCAUCCCCCUAGCAUCCUGCGCUGUGGGCCACCUAUCGUCUUUUGUUUUUUGUUUUCAAACCGAUACCUCCUCCCCCCACUCCUUGCCACCAUGCUAUGCCAAGCGCUCCAUCCCAACCCCCAAGGUGUCCCCUGAAAUUCCUCCAGGUGCACCGCUCUUCUCUUCCCAUCGUCACAAGGCUCCUUUCUUCUGUAAUCUGGGGCAGCAGAUGUUCUCCUCUUCUCCUCUGCGGUGGCGUUGACUUGACAUUGAGCCUUGUCUCCAGAACCCCAUCCGCAUCCGCACUCAAACUUCUACUAUUUGUAAAACACCCACGCUCCCCCCAAAAAGUCCCUCCCCUGGCAUGGCACUAGCUGCCAAAUCAGGCGGGGGUCCUUCUGUCUCCCUGUCUACAUCUAGCCACCUACCCCCGAGAGCGAACGCGAGUCCGCCCUGGCGCUACCACUGAAUGGAUGGCACUGUGCCAGCUUCUCUCUGCCAUCAUCUGCAUUCGCUGCUUGUUUCUCUCACUCGCCCGCCCCCUCUCUUCUGUCUCUCCCUCUCUUACCCUCCCCUCGUUCUACUCUCUUAGCCCCGCACCCCCCGAGUCCCCCUUUUGUUCUAUAGGCUUGACAUUAAUUAACAUACGGGUUAAUUGACUCUAAAAGCUGAUGAAUUGCUCUUUACAUCUCCCAUAGGCUGGCUAGCUGUGUGUCGCACCCUGCGCCCGCGCCCCCUUCUGCCUGGCACCGCCUGUGCCUCUACCUUGCCCUAGCUAGGCUCCACGUUGGCUGGCGCUAGUAGAGGAGCAGAGAGAUAGCCAGCCCUGCAGCCAGCAGCUCUGGUGUAGUGUAGUGUUAUAGACGUGAGUGAGCAGUGCCCCUACCCCACUGUACGCUGGGAAGGAUCUCAGGCUGCUUAUUGGACUAUAGCUGAUCGCAGUUGACGUUUUGCUGUCUGAUCCCACCGCAGGAUGUUGCAAUGGCAUUUUGUUAUAAAUAAUCAAAGUCCUCCUGCAACCACCUCCCACCCAUUUUUCUAUCUACCCUUCUCCUCCCCUUUUCACCCUCCCUCUCUCUCUCCACCCUCUCCGUCCCUUUCUCUCUUUCUGUCUCUAAACUAACACACUUUCACACCAGCAGAUACCAACUCUCCUGUCCUGUCUUGCCUUUCCACUCUUUUCUAUGACCAUCUGUUUAGCUUUUUCCCAUUUUUUUAAAAGAACUUCUAGGAUUAAAUGGAUAACGAAUCAAAGUUGUAAAUAAAUUGCCAUGUUUUUGGUCAUUUUUCUAAUAGCGCUCCUUAUGUACCUUGCGGUAAUUAUCUUUUCUCUCUUGUCAUUAGCGGUUUCGGGGAGCCUCGCUGAGAAUUAGCCUGAAUUAGCUAUGUCUGUCAUAUUUGAUUAGGUAAUUAUCUUGGCCACACCGUUUUCUGUCUUUUAUUUUUUCUGGUCGUUCCGAACGGAACUGAUGAGGUUAAAAACGAGAGACGGCAGGUUUUAAUUAUUAAAUAAUAUGCCCCCCUCCCUCUGAAAGGGGUCUGCCAAGUGCCGUUAAUUAACCAAGCUGCUGCUCGCAUUAAAAGUCAAGGUAGAACAGACUCAUUAAGACACAGCAAUGUGUAGAUAAAUCACACACACACACACACACACACACACACACACACACACACACACACACACACACACACACACACACAUAGCCAGGUUACCAGGUGCCUCAGGAUAGAAGCUAGCUGUAAUCUAUAAUUUCCCUCUUUCUCCCUGCCUGUGUUUAGAUUUGAUAUGGGUCUGGUCAUAAGCUGUUUAAUUGCUGAUGUUCUUAGUGUUGACUCUUUCCCUGUUUUCUGUCUUUUGGUGGGGCAGUGAGAUCCCUCGCAGCGGCUCCGUCUGGCGCUGGCGUUUUGGGGAGGCUGCGAUAGGAUGGUGAGACGGGGUGCUGGCACACCACUCCACAGGGCUGAAUCACGCUAUUCUCUCCUCUUUCACAACCUUUCGUUUUUUUCAUCAUAAUUAAGUAAAAAGGAGCAUGAGAAAACUGAGGCAACAAGAGGAAUCCAUUAUGCAAAUGCCCUGUUAUUUGCAUAAUGUCUUACGCCAGGAAUAUGCAAAUUAAGCGUAUAAUUUAUGAGCGCUUGCGUCUGUCUCAGUGUUCCCAUAACUUACAGAGAGGAUCAUUUUUGUUCUACACCCUCUCUUCUCCCCUCCUCUCCAGACUGGCACAGACACACACAGUCUCACACACACCAUACCCAUACAAACAAGCACACACUCUAUUCUCACAAAAGGGUUGGUGGCUGUGUGUACCAUGGCUGGGUGGGAAACAACUUGUCUGGCAGACUGAUGGGGGAUAAGGAGGCAGGCUAAGGAAGGGGAGGGGAGGGUUGGUGUGAUGGAAGACGUGGUGAGAGGGGCACAUAAACCCCCUUUACAAAGGAACAGUAGCAGAAGCACAUUUUCUAUAAUAAAUUAAGGGACACUAAUGCAGGGCCGAGUAAGGGGAGCCCCUGUGCUUUUUGACUUUUGUUUUGUCUUUGCGAGAGAAUAUGGUCCUGCCUCUUCUUGCUUUUCUUUGAUGCCCGCUUUUGGAGAUUUCUGCCCGUCACAGGAGCUGGUAGCUAAUCCUCAUCUGGAGGGUUUCCUCAGGAGUCAGUCUGAAGAAGGCAGAACAGCAUCCGCCGGGAUGGAGAGGAGAGGAGAGGGAGAGACAGGCUGCAUCUGUAGGCAUAUGUGUGGGCUCCCUCCACACAGCCUCCAGUACCCGAGGCUGCAACAUGUCAACCCAGCCCAGCCAAGUCCUCCUCACCUCAGCGCUGCUACAACCCGGACCAGAACUAGGAGAAAAAACAGAGUUAUCCAUGUUGUCUGAUCCGAACCCAACAGUUUUGUUUUAUUUGAGCCUUUCCUCCUCAGGCUUCUGUCUCUGUUUUUUUCCUCACCCCGGGUUAUUGUAAUCACCGGCCUGUUUUGCAUACUUGAUCUGUGGCUAAUGUCUGAAGUGACAAUACCACAUUGUUGAAGAGACAGAAAGCCACAGAUGACAUGCGUUGGAGAAAAACACGCCCAUUUCUGCAUUACAGUAUAGUGUGGAGUUUGGCGGAGAGAGACAAACUUUGGACGGUCGCGCUGUUUUUGAGAAAAACAUUCCUCCUCAGGGCCCCCAGACCUCUCUUUUUUUUCUCCUUCAUCUUUUUCUGUCCUCGUCUUCUUGCUGGCGACUUGGUGGCUUUUCCUCUCUUUGUAUGUGUCCCUCACACGGAUGGUUGGAUGGCGGCUGGGGAGGCUGUGUGUAUGUGUGCCAGGACAGAACCCCCCAUUACACACAGGACCAGUGUGCCCGCCUCCCACUGAGCCCAGGGGCAUCUGCUGCCUACUCCUCUCUGCUUUCCUGGUAGCAGCUAAGCAUUUUACAGUUCAGAGAUGGUGCGGGCACCGCAGUGUGUGUGUCUGUGUCUCUGUGUGUGUGUCUGUGAGUGUGUGUCUCUGCGUGUCUGUGUGUGUGUGUCUGUGAGUGUGUGAUGGCUUUCUGGUAUACAGCUCAAAUACACACUCACACAGGGUGUGUCACCUUGACUCCAGGCAGUGCAGGAUUCUCUAUUGCAGUGAUCAGAUCUCAGUAUGGGAAGGACAGAAGACUCUUCCGUGGGAAUAUUGGCUUUGCUUCUCUGUAUCCGUGCUGUGUGUGCCCAUGGCUCGGGCUUGGACUGUCACUCGCUAGGCUAUACUGUACUUACAGCCUUCGGAUCCUGCUACAGCCACUGUUAAUUAGAGCGCCGUGGUCAUUAUCCGUAUCCAUUUAAUUCAUCGCUGCUCUCAAUUGUCGUUUCUGAUUCACAUUCUUUUGUUUUGUGUAUAUUGGCGCAGUGUAAUUGGAAAGAUUUUCUGUGUGUGUACGUAUGUGUUUUUUUGCAAUCGCAAUUAUAUCAGGAAUUAGCGUUUAACUGCUGGUUUAAUUAUGCCGCUCUUUCAUUAUUCACAUGCAUGAUAAUGAGAUUCUCAAUGAAAUGUUGAAUAUUCACACCAACGCACGUGUUCUGAAUAUCAGCUGCAGGUCAUCAAGAGCAAUGUAUAACAAAUGGCAUUUGCAGUGUUUGUUUUUUUCAUUACAUUUCCCAAGUGUUCAUGAAGUGAAAUCGCAAAGUGCAAUUGAGACUAAUUGACAAAGCAAACUAGUAUUAGUCAUUGGCUAAAUUAGCAAUGUCAAAUAUAACUAGGUCUGUGUUUUUUAUAUUCAUUUCCCACUCAUUUUCUCUAACGAGACCAGCAAUUGUUCAUUCACAGUUUAGUUGCCCUGUUUUUUAAAAUCUGUCACAGAGUCACAUUGCUCAUUAUUUUAUGUGGCACAUUACUUUCACCUUGCCCCUGUCAGUGAAAUUGUUGCUCUUGUUUUUAUUUGUGUGUUAAACUGAAGUGAGGAGCUAUUCUGGCAUAAUUGGGAAAGGAGAUUUAAAGCCCUGAAAAUACCUCCACACUUCUUGUGCUCUCAUCAAACAGGAAUAGCAUUUCAUUUCAUUCUCUGAAAAAGCCAAAGAAAAGCAAUUUAAAAUCUGAUUUAACUUUGGUUUGAAGUUCUAUUGGAGGUCUGUACAGGACAGCUGAGCGGCCUGCCAUUGCCACUUGUAUAUAUCCACAGACUGAAAUAAAAAAACUCAGGGCAUUUGGGAAAGCAAAGAAAACUGCAUUUAAAGGGAAAUGGGAGAGACCGAAACGGAAAGACAUGACAUUGGGCUUCCAAAAGGAUACUUUGUUUCGGAAAUAGGCCCACCUUUGCUUUAGAUUCAAACUGUGUGUUUGGAGGUCUUGAUCACCAAGUUUCUCAACUAUUUCAUAAGCACACUUGAUACGAAUAUCAAUGCACGAAUGGACCAACGAGACUCAAAAUAAUGUAUGAUUGCAGUUUGCUUAGGUUUUGUGCUUGCAAGUAUAUUAAAAUGUAUGUAGUUCUGUCCUUGAGCUGUUGUCUAUUAAUGUUCUGUAUUAUGUCAUGUUUCGUGUUUUUGUGUGGACCCCUGGAAGGGUAGCUACUGCUUUUGCAACAGAACUUGUCCCGAUUGGUGUUUUUAAAUCAUCGAUGAAGGAUUUUGAGGCUGAUUCCCUGACCUGUCAAUGUUUUUAAUUUGCUGUUUUAGGAUUUUGUGAUACUCCUGUGAAUUCUAUGUUUUUUUACUGCCUGUAGUUUUUAAUGUUGUCUGUCUGUAAUUGUGUAAUGACUUGGUGCUGCCUACCUUGGCCAGGAUGCUCUUGAAAAAGAGAUUUCAAAUCUCAAUGAGCCCUUCCUGGUUAAAUAAAGGUUAAAUAAAAUAAAAAGAAUAAGUAUACAAAUAAAAUCCUAAAUCCUAGUAACUGCAUAAUACAAACAGCAGAUGUUUACUUUGGCUUGUUGAAUAGACACUUCCUGUUGAAACCCCAAAAUAGUUUUGGGCUGUAAUUCUAUCCCGAACAAUGUAGUAGAUAAUAUCACAGUAUCCUAACCAGCAGUAUUGUGAUGCAGCAUAUCAAUGUAUACAGCAUUUAGACUCCCACAAUUCCAAUAAGGUGUAGGCCUAAUUAACUGUGAAUGGUUCAGUGGUGUUCAUCAUGUUUUCAAGUUACUUACGUGCACAAUGUUGUAUCAAAGAGGUGUGUUCUAAAAAAUAAAUGACCAAAGCAUUAUUUACCA